rnacentral:lncRNA from 1 species
CUCCUUCAGGACACCCAUGAUUACGUGUGCCCACCAGAUGCUAAGGGAUUACAAAGAACGAAAGGAGGUUACAACUUAGCUAGACAGAAGAAAGGAAGAGUAUACAACACAGCGCAGUCUAGGUGAACAGAGCUGAAGAAGGGUGGUGUAGUAGUUCCUGUUCCUUUCCUGCCUCACUUCCUGGCCUCAAGUGAUCUACCUGCCUGGGCCUCCCAAAGUGCAGGAUUACAGCUGAUGACUCCCAGAAUGUCCUGACUGCAAGGAACAUGUACUAUGGACCCAUCAGAAGUGAGCUCAUUUUCUAAACAUCUGUGUUGCCAACAGGCACACACCUAAAGUUUCCUCCUAUGGCCACCUGUGGAUCACCCUGACCUUCAAAGCUGGUAGCCAAAGUUCUGCUUCCACCCCCACCAUCUGCAAGGUGGCACUUUUCAGUCUUGAUGGAUAAAUGUUAAAAAUCACAACCAACAAUUCUUAAUCAUCCCUAUGAUUUUCAAAGGAAAACGCUACUGUAUUGUCAAACUUUUUCUCUACAGGCUAAAAUAAAAAUAAAUGACUACUGAAAAAA